GUGCUUGCUAAGGCAGCGCAUAUAAUAAAUUGGAAAAGAUACAGAGAAGAUUAGCAUGGCCCCUGCGAAAGGAUGACACGCAAAUUCGUGAAGCGUUCCACAUUUUG
rnacentral:snRNA from 1 species